rnacentral:snoRNA from 1 species
UGGAACAUACAUGGACAAAAUAUCUGAAUACAGUCAAUGUGGCUAAAAUUGAGACACAGGUCAUGCUUCCAUCACAGUAAAUACUUACAGUGGUGACAAUGAGGCCUGUAACAUUU